CUGUUUGGCAUUGCCAACCCAGAAGGUCACAGAGUGGAAAUGGAGGAAUCGGCCUCUCUCGGGCUGCAGAAGGGACGAGCAAUGAGGUCGUCUAGAAAGGAAAGGAGAGGCUGUGAACAAGGCGUUUCUGGAAGUGUCGCCACGAGUCGAGAUUCAUGAGGAGAUCACAGUGGCCCAGGCAGAUCUUACUUACCAUGAGCAACAAAGAGAAGCAAUUAAAGUCCACCUAAUGUGCUGAAUGGAAACAGGAGCUGGAGCAAGGCAACAGCCACCCGAAGUUCUCAUUCCUUCCAAUGAGAUGCCCGUGAGUAGGCAAGUCUAGAAAGCAAAACUGUGUUCCCAAGUGGGUGUGACCUCUAGGCAGGGUCACAGUGAAGAGGGUAGGGGCUGAGAAUGUUCUUGAUCUGGGAGUCAUUAAAUGAGUGUGGUCAUUUUGUGAAAAUUCAGUGGUAGUUUCUAUGGAAGAUUCGUGUCCUUCCAGAAUGCAUAUUAUAUUUUAACCAAAACAAAUUU